rnacentral:misc_RNA from 1 species
GCGAUUGGUCCCAGAUGUAGUGGUACCUUGAAAAUUCAAGAUCCCAGUUUGGUUUGAGGAGACUAAGCUCUAAGCAAGGAGUUUGCAUCUAGUUUGGUACUGUUGGAUCUUCCCUUCAUGGCUUAUUCUCAAGCAAGGAUGUGAUUUCCCCUUUGGAUUUUCUCUGCCAGUAGAUGGUCAUCUCUGCUGAUUGCUAAUGGAAAGGUUUCGGGUUUUAUGUUUUGGGGCUUUUAGUUCUGCCUUUUUUUGGACUUGAAUUGGAGUCAUGUAAUUAAGUCUAUUGUUUAUGGGUUGUGAACCUUGUAAUUUUUUUCAUUUAAU